CAACUCUAUAAGGCUUUCUUUGAGAAGGAGGUGGAAGAUGGCAUUUGUAUACACAAAUACAUCCAUACACUUACUCAAGCUAACACAAUAUGUUAGCACUCUUUUGUGCUGUAAGCCUAGUAGGCACACUAUCAUGAUAGCUGGAGAUGAAAUUUUUUGGUAAGAACGUGCCUAUUCACUCCUCACAUCAUGAUUUCCAGAUUCCCCCUCAGAUUUACACUGCAGCUCUGAAGCUCUUCAGUGAAAUAUGCUUAAAGUCUUGCUCAUACCUCCCUGGAGCUACACACUGGAGAGCACAGCCGUGUGUGCUGCACAGCUUGGGUACCAGAGCAGAUGCUUCAGCACUGACUGUUCAUGUGGAAGACAGAAUACGGCAGCUGAUGCAUUUAUCUCCUCUAUUUUGUGCGACUCAGGCACAAAGGGGUUUUCUCACCAAACUGAUCACAGGAUGACAGUAUGAAAAACAAAGUAUGCUUUUGCACUGUCUCCACUGCUGAAGAUAAAUUGUAAAAAUCAUUCUCGUGUUGCAGGAUUUUUACCCCCAAAUGUCAUUUUC